rnacentral:rRNA from 1 species
UACGUAGGGGGCAAGCGUUGUCCGGAAUCAUUGGGCGUAAAGCGCGCGUAGGCGGCCCGGUAAGUCCGCUGUAAAAGUCAAAGGCUCAACCUUUGAAUGCCGGUGGAUACUGUCGGGCUGGAGUCCGGAAGAGGCGAGUGGAAUUCCUGGUGUAGCGGUGGAAUGCGCAGAUAUCAGGAGGAACACCAAUAGCGAAGGCAGCUCGCUGGGACGGUACUGACGCUCAGGCGCGAAAGCGUGGGGAGCGAACAGG